UCUCUCUCUCUCUCUCUCUCUCUCUCUCUCUCUCGACACAGCAGCACGCAUCAACAUCAGCAGUAUUAUGUGCAAUCAAUCCACUGAACGGGACGGGGAAGAAGGAAUUCAGGACCUGGUCGGUGGAGCGAGGCGAGUCGACCCGGCGGCGGCGGGGGGUCACAACCGAGUCACCGCCUGGGCGAGGGUGGAGAUCUUCUGGGCGAUCUCCGGCGAGAGGUUGAGGGGUGGGCGGGGGGCGUCCUUUCUCGGGCGGCGGCGGAAGUCGAAGCCGAGGGCGUCGGUGACCUCCUCGGAGCUCCACCCUGCUCGCCUCAGCGAGUCGCUGCACCGAUCCGCCUUCAGUAGCAGCGAGUCGAACACCGCCUGGGAGUC
rnacentral:lncRNA from 1 species